rnacentral:rRNA from 1 species
GAUGAGCAUGCGUCCCAUUAGCUAGUUGGUAAGGUAACGGCUUACCAAGGCUACGAUGGGUAGGGGUCCUGAGAGGGAGAUCCCCCACACUGGUACUGAGACACGGACCAGACUCCUACGGGAGGCAGCAGUGAGGAAUAUUGGACAAUGGGCGCAAGCCUGAUCCAGCCAUGCCGCGUGCAGGAUGACGGUCCUAUGGAUUGUAAACUGCUUUUAUACGAGAAGAAACACUCCUUCGUGAAGGGGCUUGACGGUAUCGUAAGAAUAAGGAUCGGCUAACUCCGUGCCAGCAGCCGCGGUAAUACGGAGGAUCCAAGCGUUAUCCGGAAUCAUUGGGUUUAAAGGGUCCGUAGGCGGUUUAAUAAGUCAGUGGUGAAAGCCCAUCGCUCAACGGUGGAACGGCCAUUGAUACUGUUAGACUUGAAUUAUUAGGAAGUAACUAGAAUAUGUAGUGUAGCGGUGAAAUGCUUAGAGAUUACAUGGAAUACCAAUUGCGAANGCAGGUUACUACUAAUUGA